rnacentral:misc_RNA from 1 species
UUUCCGUAGGUGAACCUGCGGAAGGAUCAUUGCCACACACGAUCCAAGAUCGACACUUUUAAUGUGAACUGUUUGUGUUUCCAUCCUUAAAAGGGGUGUAUGCGGAAGAGAAAGAUAGGGUUAAACCUUGAUUUCUUUUUUUAUACCUCUCUUUUUCGGAAAAUAUUUUAUUACACCUUAAUUACAAUUGGUUGAUACAUAUAUGGAACAUAAAAUGUUACAACGAGUUCGUCUUGUUGCUAACGAAAAUUAUAAUUAAAAACAACUUUUAACAACGGAUAUCUUGGUUCUU